UGCAUCCUGUUUCAUCUGAUGGAUGAUUUCACCUCACUCUUCCAUUUCUGAAGCAUGUGGGAUUUUCUAAAAUUUAGGGCAAACAAUCAGUCAAAGAAAGAGAAAGCAUUCCACCAAAGGAGAAAACACCAAGGAUCCGCUUUCAGGGUAAUGUUGCUCAAAGGGAUAAAAAGUGAAACUUAGACUGAAAUCGCUCAUCUUUAUUCAGAUUGAAAAAGACAGGUUUUAAAUCUUCCAAAUUCAAUGUGUUAUAGAAAGACUAUGAGUUUGCAAGUCAGCAAAUGUGUAUCCUCUCAGUUAUUUAGCUGUCUGACCUUCAGCAAGAGAUUCAAACUUUCUGGGUCUCAGUUUCUUUUUCUUUUCUUUUCUUUUCUUUUUUUUUUUUGUAAAAGAGGAAAAUUAAUGCUUGCUUCAUAUGGUUCAUACAAGGAAUGAAUAAGAGUUAAUAUUUACCCCCAUACCAGUUAUCUAUCGCUAAGUAACAAACACCUCAACAUCAUUUCUCACAAAUCUCUGGGAUGGCUGGGUGGUCUCACACGGGCUUGCUCUUGUGGUUGUAUUCAUCUGGUGGGUCAGCUGGAGCUGGAGAGUCUGUGUUGACAUCGUGCAUGUGUCUAAGGCCCUGAUGGGAAUGGUUGGAAGUCUGGGACCUCUCUCUUCACAUGGUUCCUCAUCAUUCAGUAGAUUAGCCCACCUUUAUAUGGCAUCUAAGUUCCAAGAAAGUGAAGGCAGAGGCUUCAAGGCAUCUUGAGGCUUAGGCUCCAGAGCUUCCAAAACAUCAUGUCAGCCACAUUCUACUGGUUAAAGCAAGUUAGAAUGUUAACUAGGAUUCAAGGUGGAGAAAUAGUAUCUACCACUCAAUGGAAAGUGCUCUGUUCUCAGUGUUUGUGUCCCAUCAAAUAGAUAUGUUGAAAUAUUAAUUCCCAAGGUAAUUGCAUUAGAUUGUAGAGACUUGAGAGGGUUAUUAAUUCUUGAAGAUCAUGCCCUCUUUGAGAUUAGUGCCUUAUAAAAGAGACUCCAGAGAGUGAAUUCACGCCUUCCAAAAUGUGAGGACAUAGCCCAAAGGUACCAUCUAUGAACCAGGAAGUAGGAUUUUGUCAAACACUGAAUCUGCUGGCACCUUGGUCUUGAACUUUCCAGUCUCCAGAACUGUGAGAAAAACAUUUCCAUUGUUUAUAAUGAUAUUAUGAUAUUUUGUUAUAGCAGCCCAACCAAAACAGGAAGAAUGGCAGUAUUAUAUUGCAAAUAAGUGUGAAUAUAGAGAAUGUUAUUCAUUAAGGCCAUUAUUAUAAUACACUCCCUCUUGUAUUAUAGUCUGUGGGCCCUGUUUUCCAGUGCUGUAAAGUUUAGGAGAGUCUUUCAUAAUUCUAUUGAUUGGAAACUAUGGUAAAUUAUUACAGUAAUGGCACCCAGUGAAUCACAUGCCUUUUCAUAUUCGUGCCUUUAUGUAUUCCCCUUCCAAGUCGACAUUGGACUUGGCCAUGUGAAUUGCUUUGGCCAACGGAACAUCAGCAAAUGUAACACAAAUAGAAGCUUCAGAAGGGCUUGUACACUGGGGCUUGUUCUCUUGAACACCUUGAAACUGCAAUGCCAUAAAAAUCCUGGGAUGAAAAGCCACUGCAGAAAGAAGAGUGCAGCUGGGCCCAGGUUGCAGUUCUACCAGCCAGAUACAGCUACAUGAGUGAGCCCAGGUAAGACCAGCAGAAGGGACACCCAGUCAACCCACAGAAUCAUACAUAAAUGGCACUUGUUUUAAGCCACUGAGUUUUGGGGUACAUAGCAAUAUAUAACUGAAAUAUGGACUAAAAAUAUUCUAGCCAAAGGGUAGCCUAUAACAAUUGCCAAAUACUAGCUUCACUACAAAAUCACUAAGUCAUUUCAUGGUUUUAGACAUAACAUAGAGAUAAUAUAAUUAAGUGGUCUUUAAAAUAACUUUUAACUAUAGAAUUCUUUUUUAAAACAACAUCUUAUCAGAGAUUUAAAACAAGGAGACAUCUUAUUAGAAUAAAUUCAUUUUAUUGGUUCAAAUUUAUGGCAUUUUGCUUAGAAAGCCAAUUAAUGAAAACACAAUUCCUUUUUCUUUCAUACAAAAAUAUAAAUCCAGGCUCAUAAAUGGCAGUGAAAGACUUCUUGCAGUUUUAGCUUACAAUUAAUUUAUAUGUUUUCCUUUAGCAAUAUGGCAUAAAGAAAAUCCUCAUUCAAGACAGACAAGUACUUAUAAGUGUUAGGGUCAUUUCACCACUUGCCUUGGAGUCUCAGGAUAUUGAAUGGUCAGGAGAAGCAUUAUAACUUACUCCUACUUGGAAAAAUAUGAACCCAUCAGUCCAAGCAAAUACAUUGAUUGAAGUCCUCUGAUGAGUUUAUAUUUUAAAUAUGUGACAUUUAACUAUUUAAAGAUUACCAUCUUUAAAAAGUUUAAAAUCUAUGUAGAAACUUAAAUUCAAAUUGAUUGUUUGUAGAGCCCUUGAAGAACCCUGAUGGUACUCUGCCAUUCUUUGCAAUUUAUUUUGCGAAUUACUAUAACACUUGAAAACUGGUUUUGCUUUGUCGUUGAUUUUGUUCAAAACUGAGGGAAGCGGAUUGGGCAUUUUAAAAUAAUGAUUUCUCCCAUGUUUCAAGUGUCAGUGCAUUCUCAAAACCAUUUCUUGGGCUCUUUAAAGAACAUUCCUGCUGGUUUCAUUUUUUAUUCGUCAAGAAUUUUUGUAAAAAAUCAAAAACAAAAACAAGAAAAAAGCAAAAACCCAGUGAAAGGAACUGCCUCGCGAAAGAAAUGUCACAAUUAAAACUGAAUGGUAUUUUUCAGCUCAUUUGUGUGAACUGGCAAUCUACUUGAGACUUCAGCAGGGGGUCUGCACUUCAUUAGUUCAGCCGGCAAGAACAUGCUCUCUUCAAGAACACGCUCUCUUGAAAGCUUUGGUUUGCCUUCACCACUGUUUUUGCCAGGGUUGACAGUUUAACAACUGGAAGCUGUGUGCUCUUCAUCUAAUUUUAAUGAAGCUUUUCCUUUCAGAAGGAAAACCUGACAACAGAGAAGUCUUCAAGGAAGCCAAGUAAUUCAACCACCUGACUAAAUUUUUGGAGGAAAACAGAGGGUUCUCUUAAGGGUGUGGAAUAAUCAAAGCAGCCAUUGCUAUGCUCCUGCAAAACAAGUCCCAGUAGCACAAUGGAAAUAACUGGAUUGUUUAGCAUUUCAACACCCAUCAACAGUAAGACAUAUCACAAAUAUGUGGGAGAAAUUUGCAUCUAUAAUCUAGGAAAACUGGGAUUUUUAAAUUACUUCUGCCUAGGUAGAGGGGGAGUAGAAGAAAAGGCAGAAUGGAAAAUGUCAGGGUUUCCUUCCUUCCUUCCUUCCUUCCUUCCUUCCUUCCUUCCUUCCUUCCUUCAUUUAUUCUACCAAUAUCUACUGAGCUACUAUUGAUGUGUAAUCACCAGGCUCAGCACUCAGGAUACAGCAAUAUAUGAGACAGACACAGUUUACAGCCCCCUGGGGAGUUAUACCUACAAAAGGACAAAGAGUGGAAAAAGCAAGAGGAAGACAUUCAGAGGAAAAUUUUUGGAAUUCUGAGGCCCACUCUGGAUGAUAUAUGGACUCUGACUGUUUGGGACACAUUUCUAAUUUCUGUUUAAUCCUUACUCACAUCUACUACAUAUCAAAGGUCAAAUAGAAGUUAUAAGGUGAGGUGAGGAUGUCACUGAGGUACUGCUCUUUGGCCUUCUGGUAAGGUGCCCCCACAGGUGAAUUCAUGGAUAUUCAGAUAGGAUUUGCAGGCUAAGAACUCUGAAUUGUUAGCAUCUUGAGAAGGGAAACUGUCCAUAAGGACAGACACUUCUUACCAAGAUCACAGGGGUAAUGUGUAAACCAGAAUGGCAAUUAAUUAAUUAAUUUACACUGAAAUACAACUGUUAGACAAAUCAGCUCAAAUAAUAUAUUAUCUUGCAGCAGACAGAACUAUAUGAGAAAUCAGACUAUGAUGAGAAAAAUUCUAGGUAGCAUUCUCCACUAAGUCAACAUGAGACCAACUUUCUUACUACAAGGCCAGUCUUACCUGUGAGAUUGUAUAGUAGCUCUUUUUUUGGUUUGUUUUUUUGUUCACCACCCAUGACAUCUUUAUUUUUUAAUUUUUUAUUAUACUUUAAGUUCUGGGAUACAUGUACAGAUGUGCAGGUUUGUUACAUAGGUAUACAUGUGCCAUGGUGGUUUGCUGCACCCAUCAACUCAUCAUCUACAUUAGGUAUUUCUCCUAAUGCUAUCCCUCCCCUAGCCCCCUCCCACUCCCUGACAGGCCCAGGUGUCUGAUGUUCCCCUCCCUGUGUCCAACUGUUCUCAUUGUUCAACUCCCACUUAUGAGUGAGAACAUGCAGUGUUUGGUUUUCUGUCCUUGUGUUAGUUUGCUGAGAAUGAUAGU
rnacentral:lncRNA from 1 species